AUCUACAAUGGGUUUGCUGUGCCAACGGACUAAGUGCGGAAUUGAAGGUAAGAACUUAUUUUCUGCCAAAAUAAAUUCCGUCCACAUGCAGUCAAUGUUAACCGAGCUUGAAACCUUUCGAUUUACCCUACUAUAGCCAAACGAGACCGUAACCAAGAGGUUGCACAUCCAACAAAAAUCGCAAUUUAAAUUUUCUUCCGACGAGGAUUCAUCUACUUCACUUGUGAAAGAAUCUAUCUUUGUGGUGGCAUAGGGAUUGACAAAAUGACGGAGAAAGGAAAAGAAGUUGUGGAAGUAUUAGAUGAUGAAGUUUUAAUAGAAUCCAAUAAUGACAACAAUACAAACAAUAUCGUCACAUUGAAAGAUGAUAUCCUAGGAGGAGAUGGCAUGAUUGUGUUUAAAGUUGGUAUGAAGUUCAAAGAUGAGAAAGAGUUGUUUAAGUUUUAUAAGAGGUAUGCGUAUGACGUAAGUUUUUCGGUUAGGAGGAGAAAUUCUAGAAAGGGAGAAGAUGGAGUAGUGAAUUAUAUUACGUUGACAUGUUACUGUGAGGGCCAGAGAAGCAGUAAUGUAGGCGCUUCUUUGAAACCACAUCCAAUAAUUCGGACAGGUUACAAAGCAAGACUUACUACUUUUUCAGAUAUUCAUGGAAUAUGGAAAAUUUGCACAAUUGAUCUCGAACACAAUCAUAAAACUAGUCCUUCAAAAUUCAAAUUGUAUCGCUGCAAUUGAGUGCAAAUGUCAAACGCAAGCUCAAAGUGAAUGAUAUAGCUGGAAUACCUUUGCACAAGAGUUACAACUUGAAGCGAGUGGGUAUGAGAACAUGACUUGCGUGGAAAAUGAUUGUCGAAAUUGUGUUGGAUGAGUGAGGCAAUUGAGACUCAGUGAAGGAGAUGUCGCGGCAAUACAAUCCUACUUUUCACAAAUGCAAGCACAGUGCUCAGAUUUUUACUUCUGUAUGGAUUUAGAUGAAGAGUCACAGCUUAGGAAUCUCUUCUAGGCAGAUAAGAGGUGUAGGCAAGCGUAUAAGGAGUUUGGGGAUGUAGUGACGUUUGAUACCACUUAUCUCGCAAAUAAAUACGACAUGCCUUUUGUCCCUUUGUUGGAGUAAAUCAUCAUGGACAAUCAACACUCCUUGGUUGUGAUUUGCUGACAAAUGAAGAUACAUAUACAUUUGUUUGGCUAUUCAGGAUAUGGAUGCAGUUUAUGCAUGGUCAAGCACCAAAUGGAAUUAUUAUCGAUCAAGACAUGGCCAUGCAAAAUACAAUUGAGAUAGUCUUUCCAAACACGAGGCAUAUAUGGUGUUUGUGGCAUAUAUUGAAGAAGUUGCCGGAGAAGUUUGGGUACCACGUUCAGAGAGGGUCCAAUUUUUCAUCUAUACACGACUUAGUGUAUGAUACACAGGUCGUUGAAGAAUUCGAAGAAGGUUGGAAAAGUUAUGCUUAAUACAUGUGACUGACAUGAUAUGAUUAGUUGUCGGGGUUGUUUGAGAAAAGGGGUCGUUGGGUGACAUGUUAUUUGAAAACAACUUUUUGGGUGUGGAUGUCAACAAUUUAGCGCAGUGAGAGUAUAAAUGCGUUCUUCGAUGGGUAUAUACAUUCUAAGACAUCGUUGAAACAAUUUAUCAUACAAUACGAACGAGCAUUACUAAAUAAAGUUGAGAAGGAAUUCCAAGCAGAUUUCAAGUCUUACUUACGGAUGGUAACCUGUGCAACAAAAUAUGAAAUGGAAAAGCAAUUAUAGGCUGUUUAUACCAUUUCAAAAUUUUGGGAAUUUCAAGAUAAGAUAACCGGAAAGGUCUACUACUAUGUGAUAUCUGCAAGUGAUAUAUAUUCGGAGAAGUUGUAUGAGGUUGAGGAUGAUGUCAUUUACAAAGAAUAUAUUAGAACGAAAAAGUUUUCAGUCACAUUUCGGGUAGAGGAUUGCGAUGUUAUUUGCAGUUGCCACUUAUUUGAGUUUCUUGGAAUUUUGUGUAGACAUGCCAUAUCAGUGUUGAUGCGUAAUGACGUCACAUCACUAUCAGAGAGGUACAUAUUGAGGAUAAUGGAGACGAGAUGUUUGUAGAACCCACACGAGGGUUGCUGUGAAUUACGACGGUCUGGUUAGCACUCCUAGCCAGUUGAGGUAUGAUAGAAUGUGUGAAAUGUUUGCUACGUUGGCAGACAUUGCUGUUGAUGACGAAGAUCGAGCUCAUGCGCUAAUAGAUUGGAUUCGAUUGCAAUCCAAAUACUUCAUGAUGUCUAUGAAGACGAGUUGGGGAAGUAAUAGCAUUUCGCAACCUAGUUUGCAUUUAGGUUCGCAGUCUAGAGCAUCAAAUGACAUUAGCAACGGUAUGAUAUAAGAUCCUAAAUGUUCAAAAAGAAAGGGCGCACCAAAGAAACUUUGUCAUAAAAGCUCAUUGGAGUCGAUCUCGAAAAAAUAAAGGCAGCAUCAACUUCCAACAAAGGACAGAGAUCGAGAGAGGCGAAAAGUAAUCUUUGACUCGUCACACCUAUUGCUCAGUCCUCUCUACAAGCACAAUAUUCGAUGCUGACACUAUUCUCAAAUUCACAACUCAUAUUUGCCGACGAGGAAAGUCACGCACUAACACAACAAUUGCUAUCUGCAAAUUUUAUUCCUGCAUCAACAUCGAAUGUUUUGUUCAAAUAUCCCGGCGAGUAUACGAUUUCAAAUGUGUAUUUAGCAUGUUCCCAAAUGUGAAUUUAUCAUAUGUUAGAUAAUACAAUGCCAUACUACUGUCCCGAUUUGUCGUACAAUUUUGGAACACAAUUGGGAAUGAGACCGUUCGCAAUGGAUGUUUUCCCUCUUCGAUUUCAUGGUCUAACAUAACAGAUUGGAUGUCCAGUGCCGCCCAUACCAAUCCGCAUGCUGUUGUUGCGGAAGGUCCUUCUAGUCUUGUUCAGAAUCUGAGUUCAGGAAUGGCUCAACAAGAUCCUACAAGUGAUAUUGCAAUGACCUGUCAAGAUGCUGGUUCAUCAAGGGGACUAUUAUUUAAUUCCUAUAAUGAAACUCAAUAGGCAUGUUAUGAUUUUAUUUUAUUUUUUAUUUUAUAUAUUUUUUUUCAAAAUCUGGUGUCAAGGAAUGGUCUUUUCUUUUGGUUUUUGAACUUUUGGGAUAAACAUUGGAAGAAUUGAGAAUCAAUUGUUGUUUAGACAGUGUACUUGUGUAGUUCUGCCUUUCUUUUAUCUAGGAUUUUUCUUGUAUUUCUCCACUUUGCUUUGAUAUUGUUUGCUGAGUGUUCACUUAUCAGAAAGUAGAUA